ensembl:lncRNA
GAGAGAGCGAGAGAGGGAGAGCGAGAGAGGGAGCGAGAGAUAGAGAGAGCGAGAGAGGGAGAGAGAGAGAGAGAGAGAGCGAGAGCGAGAGCGAGCAAGGGGGAGAUUUUCCACAAAGCUUUUUUCUUUCUGCGCUUGAACAUCCCGGAUAAAGCUGAGCUUGUAAAGUGGGAAAAUCUAGGACACGGUCAUCCGUGGUGUAAUAAAAAAGUAACAGGCACGAGAAAAAAGUAACAAGGAGACCGCAUCAGAUAACCAGAGUGGAGUACAGUAGCCAACACCACGGCGGGAGCCCGGUAGUGAAUGGAGCCGUGCGGGGCUUAUGGCAGAGGGGUGUUCGUAUAAUAAUGGGACACGGAGUGGCUCUCCCAGAUGAACCUUCGAAGACUAUCACUGAGGCAAGGUGCCGGACCGGGGCAUCACGACCUGAUGGAUGUAUCUAAGUACAUCGUCACCUUUCCCUCAUUCUCCCUCGUAGCGGACAGCUCUUGUCUCCCCCAGCGGAAAAGGACCUCUGAAGUAUGGAUUUGUUCUGCUGAUAUCCCAAUGACCCCUACCGCCACCACCACAGCACUGGCACCACUAUGGUUGAAGUAGAUGCGAAGUUUCAUAGUGACUUUCGCCUCCCCCUGGUCCAUUUUUUGUCUGUCUUUUCCAAACCAGGCG